GGUUUGUUAGCUCAGUUGGUAGAGCGCUGCUCCUGUAUUACAGAGGUCAUGAGUUCAAAUCCCAUACAGACCU